rnacentral:rRNA from 1 species
GACGAACGCUGGCGGCGUGCCUAAUACAUGCAAGUAGAACGCUGAAGGAGGAGCUUGCUUCUCCGGAUGAGUUGCGAACGGGUGAGUAACGCGUAGGUAACCUGCCUGGUAGCGGGGGAUAACUAUUGGAAACGAUAGCUAAUACCGCAUAACAGUAGAUAUUGCAUGAUAUCUGCUUGAAAGGUGCAAUUGCAUCACUGCCAGAUGGACCUGCGUUGUAUUAGCUAGUUGGUGAGGUAACGGCUCACCAAGGCGACGAUACAUAGCCGACCUGAGAGGGUGAUCGGCCACACUGGGACUGAGACACGGCCCAGACUCCUACGGGAGGCAGCAGUAGGGAAUCUUCGGCAAUGGACGGAAGUCUGACCGAGCAACGCCGCGUGAGUGAAGAAGGUUUUCGGAUCGUAAAGCUCUGUUGUAAGAGAAGAACGAGUGUGAGAGUGGAAAGUUCACACUGUGACGGUAUCUUACCAGAAAGGGACGGCUAACUACGUGCCAGCAGCCGCGGUAAUACGUAGGUCCCGAGCGUUGUCCGGAUUUAUUGGGCGUAAAGCGAGCGCAGGCGGUUAGAUAAGUCUGAAGUUAAAGGCUGUGGCUUAACCAUAGUACGCUUUGGAAACUGUUUAACUUGAGUGCAAGAGGGGAGAGUGGAAUUCCAUGUGUUGCGGUUAAAUGCGUAGAUAUAUGUAGGAACACCGGUGGGCUAUAGCUGCUCUCUGGCUUGUGGUGUGACGCUGAGGCGCGAAAGCGUGGGGGAGUGUACAUG